GGGUUGUGAGGUUAAGCGACUAAGCGUACACGGUGGAUGCCCUGGCAGUCAGAGGCGAUGAAGGACGUGCUAAUCUGCGAUAAGCGUCGGUAAGGUGAUAUGAACCGUUAUAACCGGCGAUUUCCGAAUGGGGAAACCCAGUGUGUUUCGACACACUAUCAUUAACUGAAUCCAUAGGUUAAUGAGGCGAACCGGGGGAACUGAAACAUCUAAGUACCCCGAGGAAAAGAAAUCAACCGAGAUUCCCCCAGUAGCGGCGAGCGAACGGGGAGCAGCCCAGAGCCUGAAUCAGUGUGUGUGUUAGUGGAAGCGUCUGGAAAGGCGCGCGAUACAGGGUGACAGCCCCGUACACAAAAAUGCACAUGCUGUGAGCUCGAUGAGUAGGGCGGGACACGUGGUAUCCUGUCUGAAUAUGGGGGGACCAUCCUCCAAGGCUAAAUACUCCUGACUGACCGAUAGUGAACCAGUACCGUGAGGGAAAGGCGAAAAGAACCCCGGCGAGGGGAGUGAAAAAGAACCUGAAACCGUGUACGUACAAGCAGUGGGAGCACGCUUAGGCGUGUGACUGCGUACCUUUUGUAUAAUGGGUCAGCGACUUAUAUUCUGUAGCAAGGUUAACCGAAUAGGGGAGCCGAAGGGAAACCGAGUCUUAACUGGGCGUUAAGUUGCAGGGUAUAGACCCGAAACCCGGUGAUCUAGCCAUGGGCAGGUUGAAGGUUGGGUAACACUAACUGGAGGACCGAACCGACUAAUGUUGAAAAAUUAGCGGAUGACUUGUGGCUGGGGGUGAAAGGCCAAUCAAACCGGGAGAUAGCUGGUUCUCCCCGAAAGCUAUUUAGGUAGCGCCUCGUGAAUUCAUCUCCGGGGGUAGAGCACUGUUUCGGCAAGGGGGUCAUCCCGACUUACCAACCCGAUGCAAACUGCGAAUACCGGAGAAUGUUAUCACGGGAGACACACGGCGGGUGCUAACGUCCGUCGUGAAGAGGGAAACAACCCAGACCGCCAGCUAAGGUCCCAAAGUCAUGGUUAAGUGGGAAACGAUGUGGGAAGGCCCAGACAGCCAGGAUGUUGGCUUAGAAGCAGCCAUCAUUUAAAGAAAGCGUAAUAGCUCACUGGUCGAGUCGGCCUGCGCGGAAGAUGUAACGGGGCUAAACCAUGCACCGAAGCUGCGGCAGCGACGCUUAUGCGUUGUUGGGUAGGGGAGCGUUCUGUAAGCCUGCGAAGGUGUGCUGUGAGGCAUGCUGGAGGUAUCAGAAGUGCGAAUGCUGACAUAAGUAACGAUAAAGCGGGUGAAAAGCCCGCUCGCCGGAAGACCAAGGGUUCCUGUCCAACGUUAAUCGGGGCAGGGUGAGUCGACCCCUAAGGCGAGGCCGAAAGGCGUAGUCGAUGGGAAACAGGUUAAUAUUCCUGUACUUGGUGUUACUGCGAAGGGGGGACGGAGAAGGCUAUGUUGGCCGGGCGACGGUUGUCCCGGUUUAAGCGUGUAGGCUGGUUUUCCAGGCAAAUCCGGAAAAUCAAGGCUGAGGCGUGAUGACGAGGCACUACGGUGCUGAAGCAACAAAUGCCCUGCUUCCAGGAAAAGCCUCUAAGCAUCAGGUAACAUCAAAUCGUACCCCAAACCGACACAGGUGGUCAGGUAGAGAAUACCAAGGCGCUUGAGAGAACUCGGGUGAAGGAACUAGGCAAAAUGGUGCCGUAACUUCGGGAGAAGGCACGCUGAUAUGUAGGUGAAGCGACUUGCUCGUGGAGCUGAAAUCAGUCGAAGAUACCAGCUGGCUGCAACUGUUUAUUAAAAACACAGCACUGUGCAAACACGAAAGUGGACGUAUACGGUGUGACGCCUGCCCGGUGCCGGAAGGUUAAUUGAUGGGGUUAGCCGCAAGGCGAAGCUCUUGAUCGAAGCCCCGGUAAACGGCGGCCGUAACUAUAACGGUCCUAAGGUAGCGAAAUUCCUUGUCGGGUAAGUUCCGACCUGCACGAAUGGCGUAAUGAUGGCCAGGCUGUCUCCACCCGAGACUCAGUGAAAUUGAACUCGCUGUGAAGAUGCAGUGUACCCGCGGCAAGACGGAAAGACCCCGUGAACCUUUACUAUAGCUUGACACUGAACAUUGAGCCUUGAUGUGUAGGAUAGGUGGGAGGCUUUGAAGUGUGGACGCCAGUCUGCAUGGAGCCGACCUUGAAAUACCACCCUUUAAUGUUUGAUGUUCUAACGUUGACCCGUAAUCCGGGUUGCGGACAGUGUCUGGUGGGUAGUUUGACUGGGGCGGUCUCCUCCUAAAGAGUAACGGAGGAGCACGAAGGUUGGCUAAUCCUGGUCGGACAUCAGGAGGUUAGUGCAAUGGCAUAAGCCAGCUUGACUGCGAGCGUGACGGCGCGAGCAGGUGCGAAAGCAGGUCAUAGUGAUCCGGUGGUUCUGAAUGGAAGGGCCAUCGCUCAACGGAUAAAAGGUACUCCGGGGAUAACAGGCUGAUACCGCCCAAGAGUUCAUAUCGACGGCGGUGUUUGGCACCUCGAUGUCGGCUCAUCACAUCCUGGGGCUGAAGUAGGUCCCAAGGGUAUGGCUGUUCGCCAUUUAAAGUGGUACGCGAGCUGGGUUUAGAACGUCGUGAGACAGUUCGGUCCCUAUCUGCCGUGGGCGCUGGAGAACUGAGGGGGGCUGCUCCUAGUACGAGAGGACCGGAGUGGACGCAUCACUGGUGUUCGGGUUGUCAUGCCAAUGGCACUGCCCGGUAGCUAAAUGCGGAAGAGAUAAGUGCUGAAAGCAUCUAAGCACGAAACUUGCCCCGAGAUGAGUUCUCCCUGAC
rnacentral:rRNA from 1 species